rnacentral:tRNA from 1 species
GCGCCCUUAGCUCAGGCGGAUAGAGCAGCGGUCUUCUAAACCGCAGGUCGCAGGUUCGAGUCCUGCAGGGCGCGCCA